rnacentral:rRNA from 1 species
AUUGAACGCUGGCGGCAGGCUUAACACAUGCAAGUCGAGCGGGGUGAUGGUGCUUGCACUAUCACUUAGCGGCGGACGGGUGAGUAAUGCUUAGGAAUCUGCCUAUUAGUGGGGGACAACAUCUCGAAAGGGAUGCUAAUACCGCAUACGUCCUACGGGAGAAAGCAGGGGAUCACUUGUGACCUUGCGCUAAUAGAUGAGCCUAAGUCGGAUUAGCUAGUUGGUGGGGUAAAGGGCUACCAAGGCGACGAUCUGUAGCGGGUCUGAGAGGAUGAUCCGCCAAACUGGGACUGGGACACGGCCCCGACUCCUACGGGAGGCAGCAGUGGGGAAUAUUGGACAAUGGGGGGAACCCUGAUCCAGCCAUGCCGCGUGUGUGAAGAAGGCCUUAUGGUUGUAAAGCACUUUAAGCGAGGAGGAGGCUCUUUUGGUUAAUACCCAAGAUGAGUGGACGUUACUCGCAGAAUAAGCACCGGCUAACUCUGUGCCAGCCGCCGCUGUAA